UGCUGCCACAAACCCGUAGAUCCGAACUUGUGCUCAUAUUCCACACAAGCUUGUAUCUAUAGGUCUGUGCUGGCUGGCAAGUGCACACUGGGUGCUGCUGCACUUCACC
rnacentral:miRNA from 12 species